rnacentral:lncRNA from 1 species
UAGAAACAAACGAGACUAACAAACCGGGAGCAUACUGAGAACCCAAGAACAAUCCAUACAGAUAACCACAAAAACAUCCUAACCCCCAGUUGAACACGUUCUGUAUGUAAAACUCAAGGUCAGCUGAGUGCAUUCUGGCAACUGGAAUGCUUUGUGGAGGAGGGUUACGGGGAAAACCACAGAAACAAAGGUCAGAAUAUACCCACGGUCAACAAAGCAGUCCCCACACCCACAGACCAGGACCCUCUCAGACAGAAGCGCUGAGGAGCUGAAUACUUGAAGGAAUCCUUGAGGAACUCAAGGAUUGCCAACUGAUUCCAAAAGAAUUUAUUAAAAGCACAGAGACAGCAAGAGCCCACACCUGUACCCCCAGCAACACCCCAAGCCCAGAAAGGAGGAUCCCAAAGGUCACAACAGCCCAAGCAGAAUAGGGUCUGUGAAAAUGGGGAACCGUUUGCAAGCCAAGCUUGCUUUAUUCCUGGGUGGGUCCAGAGUGCUACACCCACAUUGCUGAUGCUCACAGUUACAGGUGAACAUCACCAAAACACAAUCUUACUUCUUUUUUGUGACCCCGUAUAUUACUGUAAUCAACACCACGACACAAUUGAAAGAGUACCUGACUUAAAAUUUUAAAAAAAAAAAGAAACGGGAAGAGGCCC